UCGUAACAAGGUUUCCGUAGGUGAACCUGCGGAAGGAUCAUUACUGAGUGCGGGCUGCCUUCGGGCGCCCAACCUCCCACCCGUGACUACCUAACACUGUUGCUUCGGCGGGGAGCCCUCUCGGGGGCGAGCCGCCGGGGACUACUGAACUUCAUGCCUGAGAGUGAUGCAGUCUGAGUCUGAAUAUAAAAUCAGUCAAAACUUUCAACAAUGGAUCUCUUGGUUCCGGCAUCGAUGAAGAACGCAGCGAACUGCGAUAAGUAAUGUGAAUUGCAGAAUUCAGUGAAUCAUCGAGUCUUUGAACGCACAUUGCGCCCCCUGGCAUUCCGGGGGGCAUGCCUGUCCGAGCGUCAUUGCUGCCCAUCAAGCCCGGCUUGUGUGUUGGGUCGUCGUCCCCCCCGGGGGACGGGCCCGAAAGGCAGCGGCGGCACCGUGUCCGGUCCUCGAGCGUAUGGGGCUUUGUCACCCGCUCGAUUUAGGGCCGGCCGGGCGCCAGCCGACGUCCAACCAUUUUUCUUCAGGUUGACCUCGGAUCAGGUAGGGAUACCCGCUGAACUUAAGCAUAUCAAUAAGCGGAGGAAAAGAAACCAACCGGGAUUGCCCCAGUAACGGCGAGUGAAGCGGCAAGAGCUCAAAUUUGAAAUCUGGCCCCUCCGGGGUCCGAGUUGUAAUUUGCA
rnacentral:misc_RNA from 1 species